UCAUAAGCAGCAAGGCUCGUGUGUGCCAGGAACUUUAACGGGCACCGUUGAAAACGCCAGAGUUGCCCCGCCACCUUCAUUUCCUACAUGAGGGACGCACCGCAGACGGGUAGAGGCUCUCCACCAGCUUCCCUUGUUGGCCAAAGUGUAAAGGUCAGCUGAGUGAGCCCUAGAGGGCUCUCAAAGGCUGGGACUGAAUCAGAGAAGGGCUAAGGGGCUCUUUGGGACCCAGUAGCUGACCCCAGAUGCCGGGGCUCAUUUAAGGUAUUGUUGGCAGAGUCUCAGGAACGUGAGCCAAGUACUUAGGAAAGCUGGACUUCUUGGGGGCGGUGGGGGGGAGGGUUGGAGGGGGGGUUAGGUGGUGGUUACAGAUUCAAGAGAGA
rnacentral:lncRNA from 1 species